rnacentral:rRNA from 1 species
UAACGGGGCUCAAAUAUAGCACCGAAGCUGCGGCAUCAGACGAAAGUCUGUUGGGUAGGGGAGCGUUCUGUAAGCGGAUGAAGGUGAAUCGAGAGGUUUGCUGGACGUAUCAGAAGUGCGAAUGCUGACAUAAGUAACGAUAAAACGGGUGAAAAACCCGUUCGCCGGAAGACCAAGGGUUCCUGUCCAACGUUAAUCGGGGCAGGGUGAGUCGGCCCCUAAGGCGAGGCUGAAAAGCGUAGUCGAUGGGAAACGGGUUAAUAUUCCCGUACUUGGUUAAACUGCGAUGUGGGGACGGAGUAGGUUAGGUUAUCGCACUGUUGGAUAUGUGCGUUUAAGUUGGUAGGUGUGAAGUUUAGGCAAAUCCGGACUUCAUUUAACACCGAGAGAUGAUGACGAGGCUCUACGGAGCUGAAGUAACCGAUACCACACUUCCAGGAAAAGCCACUAAGCUUCAGGUUUAUCUAAACCGUACUGAAAACCGACACAGGUGGUCAGGUAGAGAAUACUCAGGCGCUUGAGAGAACUCGGGUGAAGGAACUAGGCAAAAUAGCACCGUAACUUCGGGAGAAGGUGCGCCGGCGUAGAUUGUAGUCCCUCGCGGAUGAAGGUUGAACCGGUCGAAGAUACCAGCUGGCUGCAACUGUUUAUUAAAAACACAGCACUCUGCAAACACGAAAGUGGACGUAUAGGGUGUGAUGCCUGCCCGGUGCUGGAAGGUUAAUUGAUGGUGUAAUCGAAAGAGAAGCUCCUGAUCGAAGCCCCAGUAAACGGCGGCCGUAACUAUAACGGUCCUAAGGUAGCGAAAUUCCUUGUCGGGUAAGUUCCGACCUG